ensembl:lncRNA
GAGGGGGGGAUUAGAGUUUCUGUUUGUGCGUUUGAGUGUGCAUUCACGUGUGUUUGCUUGCAUGUUGCGUGUAAACAUCUUGAAGGUACAGAGGGAUGAACGCGUAGACGCUAAUAGUGCUCACCUGUUCCUGAAGCCGGCCAACAUGCAAAUGCUGGAGACGUGUAGGGUGGUUCUUGCUAAAUGGGAAGCCUGAUUCGUAGACAUGUGAAAAGCCUACUUACACAUUUCUGACUGAUUUCUCUCAUUAUUUCAGCCUCAUCCUCGGAUGCUUCGCAUUAGCGUUGCAGGCAAACGCCCCCCAGAGCACGUAAUGACUGUUCGGUAUUUGCUGAUGUUUUCUUUCUGACAAUUUCAAAGCAAUGUUGGAAAUUUACGAGAUCUUUUAGCAGCCUCCUCACAUUCGCAUGCGUGUGCAGAUGUGCACGAACAUCCGCUCAAUUGAUUUUCUGCUUUUGUGUUUUCUGUAUGCGUGUUUCUCGAUAUUUGUUAAUUUCAUAUGUAUUUAAUUUGCCACAUGCACCACACACUCAUGCAUACAAACUCACACCCAUUAGUCAUUAUUUUGCGGUAUGAAUUGACGGAGCGCUGCUGAAAUCCUUCCUAAACUUCUCUGGUGUGAUGCUGUUGAGCUUGUUGUGCACCAGACUGUUGUCAGUAUUUGCCUGCUUGUUAGGAUGCAGCCAGUUGACUGGGAGUAGUGGUCCUGGGCCCGAGCCGACGUCGCUCCCCUCCUUGCCCAUAAUAGAUCUGCAGGCUCUCGGGGAGGGGUGAGGGUGGAGUGGGGGGGGGGCACCUGGCCGCCCUCCCUGCCAUCUCUGGCCGGAUCGAUCGCAGAGGCCAUCCCAGCGCGGGAGGGGACCCGGGGUCGUCUUCAAAGGCCUCCUGCCCACUUCCUGCCACCUGGUGUUCCAUUUUGGACAACGGGUGCAUUUCGUCCCCGCUCCCUCCGCCCUCCGUUGCCCUUCUGCAAACGGGUUAAGGACAUGGAGCCGGUUCAGCUCCACCCUGUGAUCUCCUGCAGCCUCCUCCCCAGUCGCCCACACGGGGAGAGAAGAUCUGCUAUGGAAUGAAUAUCUCCAUCUCUCGUUCCCUGUUCCCUGAACAGUAACAAAUGGCAGGACUAUCGAACACACAUUUCAUCUCCACGAGGGCUGUCGGACAAUUAGCUCCAAAAAUACAUAUUAAUCAAUCGAGAUUUUUUUUUUAAUCUGUUCAUCAAGCUCAGCCAUUUUUUUCUCCCUCCAGUACAUUAGCAGAUCUCAGUAUGUCCGCUACUCUUGUGAACGGGGAUGAGAAGGAGACGGAGGGAGAGGAAAUAAAGGUCUGAUGAGUUUGGCAAAGAGAGGAUGGAGGCUGAGACAGAUGGCAUGAAGUCUGCAGCACUCUGGCGUGCCUCGCCUGGUGCUAAAAUCCUCCUCUCUCACAUUCCAACAAAUCCUACCAGGAGGCUGGGGAGUCUGUCACACCACUCCAAGGAUCCGCAUGCCCGUCCCCCCCCUUUCCGUCACCCUGGCCCAACCGAGCCUCUGACCGCUCCGUAUCCCAUUUUAUCCUCGCAUAUGCACACGCGGACAUGUAUAGAGGUCGAUCGUGACGGGACUGGUACGAUAAGAGGCGCCGCCUGACUGCUCUCGCCGAGCAGGAACCGAGGGGACUUCAUUGAGAGAGGUGGCCUUUGCCGUCACUCCGGUUUAAGGAAUCGUACUCAGUAAACACUGGGCCAGAAUCCAGUUGUAUCAGUGGAAGAAGACAUAAGAAGCUUUCUGAUUAGUUUCACCACAGCCUGCAGCCGACUAUGGUCUUGAACAGAAACGCUGUAUCUCAAUCCAAACACGCACCGCUCAGAAGCAUGUUGCAAGACUCCCUGUGGACCUUACAACACAAAAUGGACAGUAAGUGUAACUGUGAUUACACAUUGCGCAAGACCAACAGCUGGAUCACGGGCUCCACGCGGCAGCUGCGUCUCCAAACACGGCACAAUGAUAAAUCCUUUGAAUAUCUGAAGCGUGCUUUCUUUUGCCGGCUCAUAGUGGUUCAUCUAAUAAACACAAUUUAAUUUAUUUUACACUAUGCUCCCUCCCCAUGUCUCUUUCUCGCAGUCUUUCUGCCAGCCUUCUGUUUGUUCUAAUGAAUGACUUCUGAGAUGAGAUGCUGCUGUGAGGAGGUCACGGGAGGCUUCAGAAUCACAUUACUGUUAAUGAUAAUAAAAAGAACAAUCGGCGCGAAACCUCUUGGUUGUCUCUUCCUCUCGCUCCAUAUGGACUGAAUGUAUUAUGCCGCUAUUGUUUUGAAUAUCUUUACAUGUUCGAAUUGCAGUAUUUGCAAUUAAAAUUCACAGUAAAUAUUGUUUUGUGCGUUUAAUGCAGGCGUUGUUUAUUGACAGAAAAGAGCAGAUUAAAGGUAUACAGUGGUGCACCAUCUGGGUUGUAAAGUGCAACUUUCAUGAGAAAAAAGAAAGCUAUUCCCUACGGUAACAUUUGAAGUGCAAAAGUAAUGCAAACAACUUCUAACACUUGGAGUCAGGCUUUAUUUGAUCAAUUCUUAUACUGACAAAACAUUUUUUAGCUUUUGAAAACGGUAUUAUCCAGAUGUAAUCACCUGUACUCGACUUCUAUUAAAUCAAGCAGCUGGAAUCUGUCCAUUUGAAGCUUGCGUUUGCUGAUUUAAAACACUUUUACACCCUCAUGAGCCACAUAUUAAAUCUGGAUACAAUGGCAUUAAAAAACAUCACUUCGACGAGUCAAAUCUUCAGUUUUCAUCCAUAUCAACACAUACUCAAUAGCAAAGCGUUUGCUGGGGUUGUUUACAUGGAGAUCUGACAUUCACGAACAGAUCAUCAGUGACUUUCCCUCCCGACACCACGGAGACGGAGUCGCCGGCUGUCCUUCCUACGUGGCAGGGCUGCGUGGCUUCCCCGGGCUCGUUGGCACCGCAGCUGUCACCCACAGGAUGGGAGAGCGGCGGGGUCGAUGGCUUCGCGGCGUGGCUCCUGGCAGCAGCCGGCCCUUCUCCCGGCCCGGUGAAAGGGGACGAGGAACGAACCCAAUCUCUCGGCGCAUUGAUCGAGGGCCAGCCCUCCAUUAGCCACCGUCGGAGCAAAAGGUCAAGCUAAGGCCAACGGAUGGAUCCUGCGAGCGUCCUACGGAGUGACUCGUUCUCGCAUCCAGGGAGUGAGUCCUUGUCACUCUGGUCUGUGCUACACCCCCCCCCC